GGACUACACGGGUUUCUAAUCCCGUUCGCUCCCCAUGCUGUCGUGUCUCAGCGUCAGAAAUGUGCCAGGUGGCCGCCUUCGCCUCUGGUGUUCCUCCGGAUCUCUACGCAUUUCACCACUACACCCGGAAUUCCGCCACCCUCUCACAUCCUCCAGGUUCGCAGUCUCGCACAGCCUCCGCGCGUUGAGCGCACGGCUUUCAUGCACGACUUACAAACCCGCCUGCACACCCUUUAAGCCCAGUAAAUCCGGAUAACGCUCGCCUCCUACGUAUUACCGCGGCUGCUGGCAC
rnacentral:rRNA from 1 species